rnacentral:tRNA from 1 species
CGGGAAGUAGCACAGCUUGGUAGUGCACCUGGUUUGGGACCAGGGGGUCGCAGGAACGAAACCUGACUUCCCGA